ACAUGAAAUUAAAUCAUGAAUUGCCAAUUCUGAUCAUUCUCCAGACAUAGAUGAGUUUGAAAGCUUUUGAGAAUGUUCACAAACUUCCUUUUUGUGCUUCUUUUUUUCUGUCAUUUUCUAAUUUGCUAUUUUAGUGAACUGUUGCUGAUGGGGAAGGAGAUAUUAGUCAAGCUCAAAAUGGAAUAAGGAAGUUGUCUGAUCUGUAGACCUGAGCUGACUGAAACAUGUCACAAAUCAAGCUUGCUUUAUGUCAAAGAGGCAAGAGUACGUGAACAACUGAUUUUUGGAAUAUUCAAGACCAAACUGGACAUGGUUCACCCUAGAUGCAGCGUUCCUCCAUGACAGGGUGAUGUAAACCGACUGACAGAACUCAACACGACCGUCACUCCAACUCAACAUAACUCAAUCAUCUGAACACCCUGGAUCAGCUCAGGACGCGACUGAAGGGCUCGUGAGGAAGGCAUCACACAGCUAUGGAGCUGCGGCACUUGCUUUUGCGCCAUUCUUCAUCUAUUAACAUGGGCCUCAGCUCAAGUGUGAAAUAAAUUACAUUUUCAAAAUA